rnacentral:rRNA from 1 species
UAGUCCACGCCGUAAACGAUGAUCACUCGAUGUUGGCGAUACACUGUCAGCGUCCAAGCGAAAGCGUUAAGUGAUCCACCUGGGGAGUACGAUCGCAAGGUUGAAACUCAAAGGAAUUGACGGGGGGCCCGCACAAGCGGAGGAGCAUGUGGUUUAAUUCGAUGAUACGCGAGGAACCUUACCUAGACUUAAAUGUAGAUUGCAUAGAGUAGAAAUAUUCUUUUCCUUCGGGACUAUUUACAAGGUGCUGCAUGGUUGUCGUCAGCUCGUGCCGUGAGGUGUCGGGUUAAGUCCCAUAACGAGCGCAACCCCUAUCCUUAGUUGCCAUCAGAUAAUGCUGGGGACUCUAAGGAAACUGCCGGCGCAAGCCGUGAGGAAGGUGGGGAUGACGUCAAAUCAGCACGGCCCUUACGUCUAGGGGCUACACACGUGCUACAAUGGUCGAUACAGUGGGGCAGCUACCUGGUGACAGGGAUGGCUAAUCU